GGCUGCGGCCGCCCGCCCCGCGCAGGGAAAAGCCCGACCGGGCCUUCUGCUCCGCAGAGGCCGGGUGGUUGAACUCCGCGCGGGUUUCCUAACCGCUAAAGGUGCCUUUCGGUGGUGGCUGUCUCAGAAGCACGUUAAAAUGUCCUACCCACCCCAAUCUAGAUGCGGCUGUGGGGGAAUGGGAGCGGCCGGACCUCCCAGCCUGACAGUGCAUCAAGAGCUUUGCGGAGCCUACAGCCCGGAUGGGACGACUGAGGCCCUCCCGCUGGCGAGCUGGCCGAGGGCUCGUCCCUCUCCAGCUAAAGCGCCAGCUUACGAUACAGCCAAACUGCCGGCUCUCAUCGGCUGUGGGAGCAGGAGGCCCCCAGGGGUAAAUCCCGGAGCCUCGUCUCUGAAGCCUGGCGCUUGUGUCUCAGAAGGUGGCCAUCAUCGAAUCCACUGAGGGCGCAAAUAGAACAAAAAGGUGAAGAAAAGGUGAAUUCUCUCCUUUCUUGAGCUGGGACAUCCAACUUCUCAGACAUCAGAGCUCCUGGAGGCCUUCAGACUCCGAGACAUUACACCAUUGGCUCACCUGGUCCUCAGGUCUUUGGACUUGGAAUGAAUUACACCAUUGGCUUUCCAGGUCUUCCAGCUUGCAGAUGGCAGAUUGUGGGACUUUUCAGCCUCCAUAACUUUGUCAUCCAAUUCCCAUAAUAAAUCGCCUCUUAUAUCUGUA
ensembl:lncRNA RELA-DT RELA divergent transcript